GACGAACGCUGGCGGCGUGCUUAACACAUGCAAGUCGAACGGAAAGGCCCUGCUUUUGUGGGGUGCUCGAGUGGCGAACGGGUGAGUAACACGUGAGUAACCUGCCCUUGACUUUGGGAUAACUUCAGGAAACUGGGGCUAAUACCGGAUAGGAGCUCCCGCUGCAUGGUGGGGGUUGGAAAGUUUCGGCGGUUGGGGAUGGACUCGCGGCUUAUCAGCUUGUUGGUGGGGUAGUGGCUUACCAAGGCUUUGACGGGUAGCCGGCCUGAGAGGGUGACCGGCAACAUGGGGAUUGAGAUACGGCCCAGCCUCCUACGGGGGGCAGCAGGGGGAAUAUUGCACAAUGGGCGGAAGCCUGAUGCAGCAACGCCGCGUGCGGGAUGACGGCCUUCGGGUUGUAAACCGCUUUCGCCUGUGACGAAGCGUGAGUGACGGUAAUGGGUAAAGAAGCACCGGCUAACUACGUG
rnacentral:rRNA from 1 species